AAAAAAAAAACCCAGACACACACAAGAAAGAGGCAAAUGCUUUAGCUAGGGGGAUAUCAAUAUUCACCACCCUUUUCAGCCCCCACUCAGCACCCUGGUUCCCAUUUACCGAUCUGGCAGGUAUGGCCCUGGAGCCAGGCAUUGUCAUUUUCAAGACAGAAAUCCAAUAAGUCAAAUUAAAUUUUUUUUUUAAGAAGGAAAGUUUCUAACGGACGGUGAUGAAAAAACAACACAUUAAAAAUAUUUAGGGAUGUUGCGCAGUACCUUCUGGCCGCAGUCAGAACAUAAGAGGAAGGGGAUAGCUUGGCAUCCUCUAAGGUUUCUAUUCAAGCGUAUGUUUCAGUCUCCCUCGGUUUAAGGGAAACCGCCGCCUACAGCAGCCUCUGCGAUCCAGGCGCGGGAGUUUGCAAACUACCUUAACUGCGGCGCAACGCAGCCUUCGACCACCAGAGGCACCGGGCGUCUGCAGCCUGUCAAAAACUGGCGCUUUUUUCCUCCCCUUUCCGUGGAGAGACUAUCAACUCCAUCUGUCACAAAACUUCAGGCUAAAUCUCUGGUGAAGCCGAGGCAGCCGGGGCUCCAGUACACACAGCGUUCGGCUGUCCGCCUCUCCCCAGGGUCCCGGGGCUAUUGACUUUAUGGAUCAGAAUCACCAUCAUGAGUGUGGGAAGCAUGACCUCAAGUUUCAGAGCAAGAUUGUAUCCUCUGGGCCUAGUCAGUCAGUGCUUGCUGUUUCUGAGAAGGAUAUUCAUGAGCUGCUGCACUUCAGGGAUACUAAUUGGGAUUUGACGUGAAAUUUUUACCCUGACAUGUGCAUCACCUAAGGAGGAUGGCAACAACUGGCAUCAAGCAAAAGUGUGUUUUGGUUUUUCCCCAUAUAGUGACCAAAUAAUUUAGUGUUUUUUUUUUUUUUUUAAAGCUCUUGCUGCUUCUCAAAAUUGCUUGCACAUUGGAAUCACCUUGAAAAUUAAAAAAAAUACUGAUGCCACUGCCAAUCUAUUCUACCCAACAUAUUUUAAUUUAACUGGUAUGAGGUGUGGCCUGAGAACAGGGAAUUUUAAAGCCCCUGAAGCAAUUCUAAUGCACAGCAGAGUCUGAGAACCACUGGAAACCACUUUUAAGCCCCAUCACUCUGAUGAGGCGCCAGCUGCAAGCAUGUUUUAUACCAACAUGUUUGCAGAGUAUAAACAUCACAGUGCAAACUCUUGCACCCAAGAACCCUGUGCUGCUAGUGGACAAUCUUUGGAAAAGUUUGAAUUUGUAAACUGAUAAUACAUAUAAUUCCAUGGGCUCCAUAUGGUUCCUGUUAUGCUGAGGGAACUAUACACAUUUGCCUUGCCCCAGGAUGAAAAGAUAAAUAACAGAUGUGGUUAAUUUUUAUCAUACUUGUAG
rnacentral:lncRNA from 1 species